AGCGAACGCUGGCGGCGUGCUUAACACAUGCAAGUCGAGUGUGCGCCCGUAGCAAUACGGGUGGCGCACGGCGCACGGGUGCGUAACACGUGGGCAACCUGCCCUUGGAUGGGGAAUAACUCGCCGAAAGGCGAGCUAAUACCGCAUAACACUCCGGGAACCGUGGUUCCUGGAUUCAAAGCCGUAGGCGUCCGAGGAGG
rnacentral:rRNA from 1 species